rnacentral:rRNA from 1 species
UACGUAGGGUGCAAGCGUUAAUCGGAAUUACUGGGCGUAAGGGGUGCGCAGGCGGUUUUGUAAGUCUGAUGUGAAAUCCCCGGGCUCAACCUGGGAAUUGCAUUGGAGACUGCAAGGCUGGAGUCUGGCAGAGGGGGGUAGAAUUCCACGUGUAGCAGUGAAAUGCGUAGAGAUGUGGAGGAACACCGAAGGCGAAGGCAGCCCCCUGGGUCAAGACUGACGCUCAUGCACGAAAGCGUGGGGAGCAAACAGG